UACGUAGGCAGCAAGCGUUGUUCGGAGUUACUGGGCGUAAAGGGUGUGUAGGCGGUUGUUUAAGUUUGGUGUGAAAUCUCCCGGCUCAGCUGGGAGGGUGCGCCGAAUACUGAAUGACUAGAGUGCGGGAGAGGAAAGUGGAAUUCCUGGUGUAGCGGUGAAAUGCGUAGAUAUCAGGAGGAACACCGGUGGUGUAGACGGCUUUCUGGACCGUAACUGACGCUGAAACACGAAAGCGUGGGUAGCAAACAGG
rnacentral:rRNA from 1 species